rnacentral:tRNA from 1 species
AUCUGUAAUCUUUAAUGACUUUUGAUUUGAAAUCAAAAAGAUUGUUUUUAUUAACAAUACAGGUU